AAACCGUUCGGGGGUAAACGGACAGAGCCCGUGAAUCCGGGCGGCGGAAUUCAGAAUCGACGGCGUUCGCGCGUCGUCGGUUCGAUAUUUCCGUCGCCGUAUAUGUACGGACGUCGCGACCCGUUCGGCGUCGGUCUGAGGAGACGUGUGAAAGUUUGUCGGCUUCGUUGUUCGUACCGCUACGGCGGUGUCGACGGUGGGCCGGCGAGUACGCGUUCGUUUUUCUGGCCGACUCGCCGGACGGUAAGCGUAACGGUGGCCGCGGCGAUCUUUGUUUUUACGUAGCGUUGUCGCGGUGCCGGUCUGCGACGAAUCUUCGGCCUCUUUCCGA
rnacentral:rRNA from 1 species